CAGCAGGUUCCUUUCCUCUCAGCCCUUCUUCCUCAUCCAUAAGCGGAAGGGACAGGGCAUUUAUAGAGCGCACAGAAUCGGAGAGCUGAGUUAGGUUUAUUCAGUGUUUCCACUGUCCUGUACUGACAGAAGCUUGGCUGUACUUGGCUGGAACAUCUUUCAUCUUCCACUCCAAAGACUGAGCAAGCUGAGUCAGCUCAGGUGCCCAGAACCCCAUAGACAAUGGGAAGAUUCCACCUUCAGCUGGAGAGCAAGAGACAAGGUUUGAAGGAUAAAUAGAAGUUGGCCAGCUCAUUCCAUGGAUUUGAGAACAAGAAAGUGGAUCCAGAUGGGAUUCAGCUUGGAUGAGGCUGGAGAAAAUGGA